rnacentral:misc_RNA from 1 species
AACGCACAUUGCGCCCCUUGGUAUUCCAUUGGGCAUGCCUGUUCGAGCGUCAUUUACACCCUCAAGCUCCCGCUUGGUGUUGGGCGUCUGUCCCCGCAUAUGUCGUGGACUCGCCCCAAAUCCAUUGGCAGCGGCUUCGCCGGCUUCUUGCGCAGCACUUUGCGCUUCAGAAUGCAUUUGGCGGGGUUGCAUCCAUCAAGUCACCUCCAUUUUGACCUCGAAUCAGGUAGGGAUACCCGCUGAACUUAA